rnacentral:rRNA from 1 species
CGCCUGCCCUGUGACAAAGGUUUAACGGCCGCGGUAUUUUGACCGUGCAAAGGUAGCGCAAUCACUUGUCCUUUAAAUGAAGACCUGUAUGAAUGGCAUCACGAGGGCUUAACUGUCUCCUUUUUCCAGUCAAUGAAAUUGAUCCCCCCGUGCAGAAGCGGGGAUAAAACCAUAAGACGAGAAGACCCUAUGAAGCUUUAGACGCAAAACAGAUCUUGUUAAACACUUCAAAAUAAAGAAACGAACUAAAAGAGUGCUGUCCUAAUGUCUUUGGUUGGGGCGACCACGGGGAAACGAAAAACCCCCAUGCGGACUGAGAAAACAAUUUCUCACAACCAAGAGCCACAGCUCUAGUUAACAGAAUUUCUGACCUUUAGAUCCGGCAAUGCCGAUCAACGGACCGAGUUACUCUAGGGAUAACAGCGCAAUCCUCUUUUAGAGUUCCUAUCGACAAGGGGGUUUACGACCUCGAUGUUGGAUCAGGGCAUCCUAAUGGUGCAGCAGCUAUUAAGGGUUCGUUUGUUCAACGAUUAAAGUCCU